CGGCCGCGUCGACCCAUGAGCAGGUUGAAGGUGAGGUAAAACUCACUGGAGGACCGAACCAGGGCACGUUGAAAAGUGCUUGGAUGACUUGUGGGUAGCGGAGAAAUUCCAAACGAACUUGGAGAUAGCUGGUUCUCUCCGAAAUAGCUUUAGGGCUAGCGUCGAUGUUAAGUCUCUUGGAGGUAGAGCACUGUUUGGGUGAGGGGUCCAUCCCGGAUUACCAAUCUCAGAUAAACUCCGAAUGCCAACGAGAUAUAAUCGGCAGUCAGACUGCGAGUGCUAAGAUCCGUAGUCGAAAGGGAAACAGCCCAGACCGUCAGCUAAGGUCCCAAAAUCCUGGUUAAGUGGGAAACGAUGUGGGAAGGCUCAGACAGCUAGGAGGUUGGCUU
rnacentral:rRNA from 1 species